GAUUAUAAACAAAUUGUUUAGUUUAUAUGUAUAGUGUAUAAAGUGGUGGGGGUCGAUCUAAUUAACGCACUUCUAAGUAAAUCAGGAGGGGCUUGUCUAAGGUCUGCAUAAUUUGGAGAACAAUGCUUGAUCAAGAUAUAUAUAACACAAAAGUUAUGACUUCUUUUUAGCAUUUUAUUGUAUGCUUUCUAAACCCAGGAGUGUUCAUAAUGACUCAUCAUGUAUAGUAGCAGUGGUUAUAUGUUUUUCAUAAUAAGAGAUGGUAAAUUAUCAUUAAUGUCUGAUAGUGUGAAAUUAAUUAUUUUCAGUGCUUGAGACUGCAUAUAAUGCUACCAAUGCAAGAAUGUACUGGAAGUCUCUGAACAAUGAUGAGGAUGAGGAUGAUGAUUACAA